UCGAGAAUCUUCCACAAUGGACGAAAGUCUGAUGGAGCGACGCCGCGUGAGUGAUGAAGGCCCUACGGGUUGUAAAACUCUGUCAGGAGAGAAGAAUCGCCGGGAUGCCAAUACCAUCCUGGUUUGACGUUAUCUCCAGAGGAAGCUCCGGCUAACUCCGUGCCAGCAGCCGCGGUAAGUACGGGGGGANCGAAGCGUUGUCCGGAAUUAGUUGGGCGUAAAGGGCGUGUAGGCGGCUUGGUCAGUCGAAUGUGAAAUCCCACGGCUCAACCGUGGAAUUGCGUUCGAUACUGCCUGGCUUGAGUAUGUGAGAGGUGUGCGGAAUUCCGUGGUGUAGCGGUGGAAUGCGUAGAUAUCAGGAAGAACACCGAUGGCGAAGGCAGCACACUGGCGCAAUACUGA
rnacentral:rRNA from 1 species